CACCUAACCAGACUAUUGGCAAAGUUAAGAUCCGUCAGAGCAUCAUCUCAUGAGAAGCCGAUGUAAAUACGUUGCGUAUAAGUACGUUAUCAUUAGUAUACUCAACAGCUGAGUAUUGUGCCCCAUCUGGAUUAAUAGUGUUCACACAAAGAAUGUAGAAAAACACCUUAAUGCAGCUAUGCGCACAAUAUUGACGGAUUGACGAAAUCCACACCGCUAAAAGGACCACCAGUGUUUAGUAACGUUGCUCCCCCAAAAUUAUGUAGAGAACACGCACUUCUGCAAGAAUUUAACAAGUAUGCUAAUAGUCCUACCUUCCCCAUACACGCAGAUCUGGCCACAUUAGAGGAUGUUUAACGGCUCCAAUCCCGAAAACCAUCUUUGAGAAAAGCAAGGGAUCUCACCAGG